rnacentral:rRNA from 1 species
GAUGAACGCUGGCGGCGUGCCUAAUACAUGCAAGUCGAGCGAACAGACGAGGAGCUUGCUCCUCUGACGUUAGCGGCGGACGGGUGAGUAACACGUGGAUAACCUACCUAUAAGACUGGGAUAACUUCGGGAAACCGGAGCUAAUACCGGAUAAUAUAUUGAACCGCAUGGUUCAAUAGUGAAAGACGGUUUUGCUGUCACUUAUAGAUGGAUCCGCGCCGCAUUAGCUUGUUGGUAAGGUAACGGCUUACCAAGGCAACGAUGCGUAGCCGACCUGAUAGGGGGAUCGGCCACACUGGAACUGAGACGCGGUCCAGACUCCUACGGGAGGCAGCAGUAGGGAAUCUUCCGCAAUGGGCGAAAGCCUGACGGAGCAACGCCGCGUAAGUGAUGAAGGUCUUCGGAUCGUAAAACUCUGUUAUUAGGGAAGAGCAAAUGUGUAAGUAACUAUGCACGUCUUGACGGUACCUAAUCAGAAAGCCACGGCUAACUACGUG